rnacentral:piRNA from 1 species
CAUAAUGCUGUUUGUCCAUUUGUCUC